AGAUGUUGUGGGGUAAAGGUGGGGUUGGGCACCAAUAACUGUUAGGUGAGGACCCAAUGACGACUUUAUUUCCGCGGUUAUACGGUGGGUCUGACUUAACUAAGUAAUGGGACCAAUAACUGUUAGGUGAGGUCUUCAUUACUUAGAGACCAAGUACCACUGCAAUAUGCUUGAGAAGCAUUGUACAAGAGUUGUACACUCAUCCAUUUAUAUGUCACCAAUAACUAUUAGGUGAGGCGGCAUGUGAAUCGGUGAGACCGCAGUACCCACUAGAAAUCCUAGUCGCGUAGGGUUUUCGUUUCUCCAUCAGGGGAGUAUGAGGGAUUCGAGAAAAU
rnacentral:lncRNA from 1 species